rnacentral:lncRNA from 1 species
AGGGAAAGGGAGGGUUUAUCGGCACAGCCGUUUGGAGUUGCCUACGGCCCUACCAUCUUCAAGCGCGAGAGAAAAGCAAAUGGCCUCCGAGAACUCCCUAAGCCGAGAGCGGUGGCGAUCGGGCCGUACCACCCCCGCGAGAAUUCGCUGACGUUCAACGAUGAUUACAAGUGGAAGAUUACUAGGUUAAUGGUCAAUGAACUGGGGGUUGACGUGAAGAAGUACCUCGCAAAGAUGGAGGAGGAGGAAGAGGAUGCUCGCAGCAACUACAGCGAAGGUUUAUUGGAAUGGAGCAGCAAAGAUCUCCAUAUGAUGCUGCUGUUCGACAGCUCUUUCAUACUAUUCGUGAUAAAUCCAUUCUACAAA